GAUGAACGCUGGCGGCGUGCUUAACACAUGCAAGUCGAACGAUCAAGCCCAGCUUUCUGGGUUGUUUCGUGACCAACGGGUGAGUAACACAUGAGUAACCUGCCCUUCUCUCUGGCUUAAGCCUCUGCAACUGGGUCUAAUACCUGCUAGGUACGUCCACCGCCUGGUUGGUUUUGUAGAGAUUUAUCGGUUUUCGAUCGAUUCUCGGCCUAUCCGCUUGUUAGUGAGUUAUUGGUAGACUAAGGCGUAGCCAGGUAGGCGGCCUGAGAGGGUGACCGGGCACAAGGGGACUGAGGGACGGCGCAGAAGCCUACGGGAGGCAGCAGGGGGGAAUAUGGCAGAAUGGGCGCAAGUGUGAGGCAGAGACGCCGCGUGAGGGAUGACGGGCUACGGGGUAUAAACAUAUGUGAGUAGGGAAGAAGCGAAAGUGACGGUACCUGAAGAAGAAGCACCGGCUAACUACGUG
rnacentral:rRNA from 1 species